rnacentral:RNase_P_RNA from 1 species
CCUGCCGGAUGGGCAGUCGCGUCCUGACGAGGUCCCCGGAUAGGGGAAACCGGUCACGGCCGAGGCAAAGUCCGGUCUCCAUAGAGCAGCGUGCCGGUUAACGACCGGGGGGGUGGGCUCAAAGCCCACUUUACGGAAAGUGCCACAGAAAAUAUACCGCCCACGGCAACGUGGGUAAGGGUGAAAAGGUGCGGUAAAAGCGCACCGCGCUCCGGGCAACUGGAGUGGCAGGGCAAACCCCACGUGGAGCAAGACCAAAUAGGGGAGGAGGGGCGGCUCGUCCCGUUCUACUUCCGGGUAGGUCGCUGGAGCCUGUCAGCAAUGGCAGGCCUAGAGGAAUGACUGCCACCUCGUCUUCGGGCGGGGUCCAGAAACCGGCUUACAAUCCGGCAGGCUCC